AGAGUUUGAUCAUGGCUCAGGAUGAACGCUAGCGGCAGGCCUAAUACAUGCAAGUCGAACGGUAAGUUGAAUAGCAAUAUUUGACCUAGAGUGACGUACGGGUGCGUAACACGUAUGCAACCUACCCUUUACAGGAGGAUAGCUCGGGGAAACUCGAAUUAACCCUCCAUAACAUAUUGGUGUGGCAUCACAUUAAUAUUAAAACUCAGGUGGUAAAGGAUGGGCAUGCGUCUGAUUAGUUAGUUGGCGGGGUAAUGGCCCACCAAGACGAUGAUCAGUAGGGGAACUGAGAGGUUGAUCCCCCACACUGGCACUGAGAUACGGGCCAGACUCCUACGGGAGGCAGCAGUAGGGAAUAUUGGUCAAUGGAUGCAAGUCUGAACCAGCCAUGCCGCGUGCAGGAAGAAGGCCUUCUGGGUUGUAAACUGCUUUUGCCAGGGGAUAAAAUUUCCUUGCGAGGAAAAUUGAAGGUACCUGGUGAAUAG
rnacentral:rRNA from 1 species